ACGUGUGCGCGCAUACCAUCACGCGUUUACAAUUUCAAUAUUUUUCUUAUUUGAAACUUUUUUUUUUUUUUUCAAGUUUUCGUAAGCAAUGGAUUUUUGUCAUUACAUUUUUACAUAACAUUUUUACAAAAUAAGUAUGCAAGAAUCUGCUCUGAUAUGUACUUAUAGAUUGAUAUAUCAUUUAAGCCUAUGACAUAUUGGCCCAUCUAUUUCAAAACAUAUAUCCAGUAUUUGUUCAUCUACCUUAUAUAAUCUGAUAAUGAGGGAAAAUGAAAAGAGCAGAGCACCAUGUAAAAGCAUUGUGGAAAAUCUUGAGCCACGGUGAUGUUUGAUUAGUCCAGGAGGGUGGAACAUAAGGCCACUGCCACAUUUGAGUACAUCUCUCUGGAUGUGGCAUCAUUGCCAAGUGUCGUCCAUUUGGCGAACAGAUGGCUGCAAUACCAUCUAAACUGCCAUUUGGAUUGAGUGGAUAAGUUUCAGUUGGAUUACCAUCAUCAUCGACAUAUUUAAUUGGGUAGCUGAUAAUCAGGAAUAUGAAGAUUUCCAACAGAAUAACCGGCAGUACCAGCAAUAUAGUAUCCACCUCUUCCGCAACCUUGAAUAUCUCGUAGACGACCUCCAGUUCCUGUUGUUGCUCCACUAAAUGGAGCAACACCAGUAGGAAAAUUGUGCGUUUCCGCAGUAAAAAUAAGGUGUUUCUUGAUAUUUUUCAAUGUCAAUUCACUGCAAAUGUCUGUUGCAUUUGGCACUAAUACAUCAACACUGAAACCUUCGAUGGCGCUACUAUUAUCGGCAAACUUUAUCACGUUGUUUGAAUUUGAAUGAUUUUGCGUAUCAGUAAUCAUAUCGAAAAGUGUUUUUUCCUCUUCUUUGCCAUCAAUCAACAUUUUCCCUUUGAAGAACCAAUGGCGACUGUGCUCGCUAUUCGAUUGAGCCAAAUCGAAACAUUCGACACUCGUUGGAUUGCGUUUCAAUCUAUCUUUGAACAAAUUUGUGUAGAAAUCUAAAUCCCAAUUGUCGAAGGCAAGACCUAAAAUUAAACUCAACUAAAUAAAUAUAUUCAAUCAUUACUGUUGAAUAUAUUUUUUUAAUGCAGUGUUACAAAAAAAUAAUCACCAAGUUUUGAAUUGACAUCCUCAAGUGCCGAUCUUCCAUUAUGCAAAAUAUCUACUUCGAACCAGCUUUCCGGUCUAAAUCCAUGAUCAAAUGAUUCAAGUGGUUUUAAGUAUCGACAUUCUGUCAUUCUGUCAUGAAGUACAUUUACAAUCUGUUUAAUCAAUAUAUAUAUAUAGAUAUCAACUUUCAUCUAUUCAUAAAUUUAUAUAUAAUAAAUAAAAACAACCAUGUUAUUAUGAUUUUAAAAAUUACUCACCGCGUUUUCACAUGUUUUGUCUAUUUUUCCAUGACAUUUGAUGAAAUAUCUCGUGGAUACUUCUAAUCUGGUAAUGCUCCUGAGUUCAAGGGAUUUACAAAUCGAUACUGCAUUGCUUGAAAAUGGUGUGGAGAAAUUCAAUCUGAAAAUAGUAGUACAAUGCAUAAUAUGUUGUUUUUAAGAAGGUAAUAAGGAAUAGAAAAGAAAAAAAAAGAAAAAAAUAUCAUACACACAUACCGUGGUCCAAUUUCAAUGAUUAUAUGGCAAUCCGAUUGCUCUACAAAGCUCGAUGUAUUGAUAUUUUGCAAUUGGAAGGGUGGACUGAGUAUCCACGUGAGCUGAUUAAUUUCAUCUUUUGACAAUUGCAGUGUACUUUCCACAUAAUAACAUAAUUCAGUUUCUACAGUAGCAACGAGACUCGAUAUCGCAGUCACGGCAUUAAUUUUAUUAGUUAACUGACCCGACAAGAGUCCAGGACUCUUGUAAAAUCGUUGAAUUACCAUGCUGGAUAUUGUGUCACGUGGCGAUUAUAAUUAAUAAUAUUAACACGCCUCACUCUGAUUUAGAACACUAAUCAAAAAUAAUACAAUACAAGCUAUUGAACGCGCUGGAUUGAGUUCUCUCAAUAUGAGAGCUAGAAUAAACAGCACACUACAGUUUUAAUUACGUUCGAACACGAUAAACAAUAUUAAAUGAUGAAAGAGUUGAGAGGUCAGAUUUGCCAAUCUUCUUAUCACGAAAAAUAAGUAUUUUUCCUAAUGCACGUAUAUUCUAAGAUUUUAAUGUUGAAACAUGUUAGCCAUCAAUAGAUUCUUUUGACUAUUUUUUCAUUCUCUACUUUAAUAAAAUGUGUUGUACAAAAUUGUAUAAAAGUUUGCUAUAUAUAUUUUCUGUUUCCCAUUA